GCAGCGGUGGCCGAAUGGUUAAGGCGAUUGACUAGAAAUCAAUUGGGCUGUGCCCGCACAGGUUCGAAUCCUGUCCGCUGCG
rnacentral:tRNA from 1 species